ACAAUAACAUUGCAACUUUGCGAGGGAACUUUCAGUAUAGCUUAGAGCGCCCAACAUUUGUUUCGCGGGCUGUUUCUUCGAGAGCAAUUAAUAUUUGUUUUUGCCUCUGGUGUCAUGAAAGCGCCAUGUCUAGCUUUGACUGCAUAGUUCUGUGCUGCUCUUCGCCUAAGUGGGCUUCUGCAAUUGAAACAGAGCUGCGGAUUCUCCAAGCUCGGAAUAUAAUUUCUAAAUCCGCCAAGAUCCUUACCAUCGAGGACCCUGAAAAGAACAUCGGCAGCAGAGCCGCUACCUUGAGUGGACUUCUGGUAGCGACAAGAUACUUGUGUGCUGAAAAUGGAUAGACAGUUGUAACCUCUGACGUACUCCAAAAAAGCCGGAUCUUGAUACUGUAUCAUGAUGGUGGAGACUAUCUUCUAGAACCUUGUGGAAGAGCUUUCAUGAGUGUGCCGGGCAUUUACGCUGCUUCCGUUGCCAGAUCGAUGGUCAAUCUACCAACUUGGAGAAUCUGUUCAACAUCACCUCCCAAAUGCAAAAAAAUGGUCCUCCAGGCGUAUGGCUCUGCAGCACAGACAUGGUUUUGACCU